rnacentral:rRNA from 1 species
AUUGAACGCUGGCGGCAGGCCUAACACAUGCAAGUCGAACGAGUGGCGGACGGGUGAGUAAUGUCUGGGAAACUGCCUGAUGGAGGGGGAUAACUACUGGAAACGGUAGCUAAUACCGCAUACCAUCGGAUGUGCCCAGAUGGGAUUAGCUAGUAGGUGGGGUAACGGCUCACCUAGGCGACGAUGCCUAGCUGGUCUGAGAGGAUGACCAGCCACACUGGAACUGAGCCACGGUCCAGACGCCUACGGGAGGCAGCAGUGAGGAAUAUUGGACAAUUGGCGAAAGCCUGAUUCAGCCAUGCCGAGUGUGUGAAGAAGGUCUUCGGAGUGUAAAGCACUUUAAGUUGGGAGGCGUUACCAACAGAAUAAGCACCGGCUAACUCCGUGCCAGCCGCCGCGGUAAUUC